CUAAAGAUGUUCAGCAGGGGUUCAAGGUACCAAUUCUCUUUGUUAUCACUGUAUUUUGACUAUCAGCUCAAGUAAGGUUUUAGGAGCCAGGAACAAGUUGGCACUUAAAGGGACCCUCCAGACACAAAACCAACUUCAUCUUAAUGAAGUUGUUAUGGUGCCAGGAGGCCCCUGGAGAAACAUUUAAUUCAAGGGGUUAAAC